rnacentral:lncRNA from 1 species
GUUCUCACCCUACUAUUUCCACAGAGCCGGGACCGAGCGAGCCGGCGAGCGACCGAGGUAAAGGUAUCGCGCCUUAGUCAGAGGCCACCAAAGUUGGGUUUCAUUUUGUAGUAAAGUACCCUAUGAUCAUCUUUUGGUACAUGAUGAUAAAUGAUGUAAAGAAAAGAAUGUAAUGUGUAUUUUGAGGUAAAUGUGAUGUAAGAAAGACAUGAUGAAAUGAUGUAAUGAAUGUAAGAAAUCGAUAAAUUACAAGUUGGAUGUAAUGUAUAUGAUCUAAACUGAAUCAUAGUACAGAAUGAAUGCUAGUUUC